rnacentral:ncRNA from 1 species
UACCUGGUUGAUCCUGCCAGUAGUCAUAUGCUUGUCUCAAAGAUUAAGCCAUGCAAGUCUAAGUACGAGCUCUCGUACAGUGAAACUGCGAAUGGCUCAUUAAAUCAGUUAUGGUUCAUUUGAUCGUACAGUUUACUUGGAUAACUGUGGUAAUUCUAGAGCUAAUACAUGCGAGAAGCGCCGACCUCGCGGGAGGCGUGCAUUUAUCAGACCAAAAACCGGCCGCGUCUUCGGGCGCGUUCGCCUUGGUGACUCUGGAUAACUUUGCGGAUCGCACGGUCUAGCACCGGCGACGGAUCAUUCAAGUGUCUGCCCUAUCAACUUUCGUCGGUACGGUAUUUGCCUACCGAGGUUCUUACGGGUGACGGGGAAUCAGGGUUCGAUUCCGGAGAGGGAGCCUGAGAAACGGCUACC